CAGUAACGGCGAGUGAAGCGGCAAGAGCUCAAAUUUGAAAGCUGGCUCCUUCGGAGUCCGCAUUGUAAUUUGCAGAGGAUGCUUUGGGUGCGGCCCCCGUCUAAGUGCCCUGGAACGGGCCGUCAGAGAGGGUGAGAAUCCCGUCUUGGGCGGGGUGUCCGUGCCCGUGUAAAGCUCCUUCGACGAGUCGAGUUGUUUGGGAAUGCAGCUCUAAAUGGGUGGUAAAUUUCAUCUAAAGCUAAAUACUGGCCGGAGACCGAUAGCGCACAAGUAGAGUGAUCGAAAGAUGAAAAGCACUUUGAAAAGAGAGUUAAACAGCACGUGAAAUUGUUGAAAGGGAAGCGCUUGCGACCAGACUCGCCCGCGGGGUUCAGCCGGCAUUCGUGCCGGUGUACUUCCCCGUGGGCGGGCCAGCGUCGGUUUGGGCGGCCGGUCAAAGGCCCCUGGAAUGUAGUACCCUCCGGGGUACCUUAUAGCCAGGGGUGCAAUGCGGCCAGCCUGGACCGAGGAACGCGCUUCGGCACGGACGCUGGCAUAAUGGUCGUAAACGACCCGUCUUGAAACACGGACCA
rnacentral:rRNA from 1 species